GGGGAAUAUUGCACAAUGGAGGAAACUCUGAUGCAGCAACGCCGCGUGAGUGAUGAAGGUCUUCGGAUUGUAAAGCUCUGUCUUCUGGGACGAUAAUGACGGUACCAGAGGAGGAAGCCACGGCUAACUACGUGCCAGCAGCCGCGGUAAUACGUAGGUGGCAAGCGUUGUCCGGAUUUACUGGGCGUAAAGGAUGUGUAGGCGGAUAUUUAAGUGAGAUGUGAAAUCCCCGGGCUUAACUUGGGGGCUGCAUUUCAAACUGGAUGUCUAGAGUGCAGGAGAGGAAAGCAGAAUUCCUAGUGUAGCGGUGAAAUGCGUAGAGAUUAGGAAGAACAUCAGUGGCGAAGGCGGCUUUCUGGACUGUAACUGACGCUGAGGCAUGAAAGCGUGGGGAGCAAAC
rnacentral:rRNA from 1 species